CACAUAUGGAAGGCUUCAUUUAUCAGCAGCUCUCCUUUCAAAAAGAAAAUACAGCAUGUAGACACUCUGAAAUGAUUCAAAAUGAGACUCAUACAAUUGAGAUUUCCAAAGCAUCGUCAUACCAACUUAAAUUUCAAUCGGAUUAUUUCUAGCCACACAGAUUAGAGUGAGCAACAAGGCAUGAAAGAAGGUUAAUCUUACACAGUUAACACAUAGACCUGCCGCUAUUUCAAAUUCAAAAUGAAGAUACCAAGUCACUCAUAUAAAUUUGAAACACGCACCCAAUACUAUAUAGUCCAUGGUAAUUAUUUAAAUUCGAACUUUAAAACACAAACUACAGAAAUUUGAUUUGCAUUUAAAGUAGGCACAAAUUCAAAAUCUCUAAGGACAAUAACCCACAGAGAUGGACGAUAUACAGAAGAGAAUAAAAAAGCACAAGCAAGCCAUUGCAAAAGCCUCUUCCGCAAGGUGAUUUCGGAUAAUGAAGUAAGAUAUGAUAUGUUACAGUCAAUUUCUUUCUCACAAACGCACGCUUAUAUUACACCAAUUUGCAUCAGAUCAUAGCAGACAACAAAAAGCAGAUUUAAAGCAUUGCUAGAAAUCUGGAAACAUUCAAUAAAUCCAUGGUUCUCUAACUUACAUGAAACUAAAAACUUCUGAGAAAUGAUUAUGCUCUUUUACUCAAUAAAACUAAGAAAUCAAACCACACUUCAAGCCACCGCUGAAAUCCAAAAGGGAAGUCCAUAUAAAGAUACAACUCUUCAACAAAAAAU